rnacentral:rRNA from 1 species
GACGAACGCUGGCGGCGUGCUUAACACAUGCAAGUCGAACGGAAAGGCCCUGCUUGCAGGGUGCUCGAGUGGCGAACGGGUGAGUAACACGUGGGUGAUCUGCCCCUUACUUUGGGAUAAGCCUGGGAAACUGGGUCUAAUACUGGAUAGGACCAUGCUGUAGGUGGUGUGGUGGAAAGAUUAGUUUCGGUAAGGGGUGAGCUCGCGGCCUAUCAGCUUGUUGGUGGGGUAAUGGCCUACCAAGGCGUCGACGGGUAGCCGGCCUGUGAGGGUGGACGGCCACAUUGGGACUGAGAUACGGCCCAGACUCCUACGGGGGGCAGCAGUAGGGAAUAUUGCACAAUGGGGGCAAGCCUGAUGCAGCGACGCCGCGUGGGGGAUGACGGCCGUCGGGUUGUAAACUCCUUUCAGCCAUGGCGAAGCCCUUGUGGUGACGGUAGUGGUAGAAGAAGCACCGGCUAACUACGUG